CUCAGCCAGCACAGCGCAAAAAUAAAAAAAGAACCUUUGCCAGCUUCAGGCAUGCGCAAGCGAAAUUUAUGUACAAGCAGCGCGGCGUCCAAAGCGAAAUUUAUGUAUGUACAAGCAGCGCUGCAUUCAAAACAAACAGUAUAACAGUAGAAAAGGUUAUUGUUUUUGUAACUGUUUCGUGGUGAAAGUCCUUUAUGUGGACCAAAUUUCCCCACAAGAAAUUGAGCGCAUGGGUGCUUUUGCUUGCCAAAAGAACGAAUAUUAGAAAACAUUGAAAAAAAGUCUGAGAUAAUACAAUUAUAUUCUACACAAUAAUUUGCCCUAAUUAAAUAAUAUGAUAAUCAAGUGUAAAAGCUCUUUUCAACUCUUAUUUUUUCCAAAAUAAUAUUGCGGAUCAGAUUGCUCUGAGCGCUUGUUGUAAAAUGUUGUUUACCAAGAAAAUGCAGCCCUGUUGGUUUUUAUUUUUUUAUUUUUGUAUCGCAUCGCGGUGAGUUUCUAUUUCUUGGUAACUCAGUUUGUGAAAUGGUAAACAAAAGAUUGAAAUUUAUUGAUUUGAUGUGUUUAACAUUUGAUUAAUGCAAAUUUCUUUCUUUUCGGACCAUGAAUUACAAGCACAGCAUCAUCAACGGUCAUUGCAAGGAGAGCUACUGCAAUCCCUGCGGUUUUUCCUCUUGGUAAAUGCGUUCUGGGCGUGACAAAAGAUGGUCUUCCAAAUCAGCCGGAAUCCCCACACAUCUAUUGUACAAUGAGCGUCUGAUAGCCCACCAGCGUACAUAAAUAGAAAAUACAUAACGUGGCGAGGAACUUGUAUUUGAAGAUGAUGAGUACACAACGUUGGAGAGCAUCGAUUUGCAAUCUGAAUAAGGCUAUUGUUGCAGAACAAAACGCCGCAAGCACUGCUGUUCUUGCUAAAUAUAUGUAUACCAGCAGUACUGGUCAAAGCCGUCGGUGCAAUGAUUUCGAUAUCUGGACAAACGCCAUCUCCUCAUAAUUCCAACAGCUUGCCGACACCUCAGCUAUUUCAACUAUUUCAACUAAAGCACGUGAUGUAGUAUCUAGUUAAAAUCUAUGACAGAUUAGCUGUUACAAUUACUCCUAUAAUUUUUAUCAGUCACGCAUGAUAACAGGUUGUAAAGUUUUUGGAAUCGAAGAAACUACUCGAAGAAGACGAUGGCCGCAAAACUAUGUAGGCUGAUGAAACAUCUUCUGGUAUGCCUUUGACGAUCGUUAGUCAGACGGAGGCUUCACAUAUGAUAUUUUAGUCAUGGCUGGAGUUCGUUAGCGGACAGAGCACACAUUUACAAAAUAUUUAUCAGGCUGCAGAACGUGAAGGCAUAUUCAAUUCCGAUUUUAUUGGUCGAUUAUGGAUGGCAAUCGAACUUCAGUUGAGUGGCCAGUGGCUGAAAUGGUAUUCUGUUAUAGCCACCAAU